UUCUAGUUUGCCUACGCCGUUUCAGCUUCUGGGUCGUGAAAUUGUGAUUUGGUUUGAUAAAGCUAAUUCUCAAUGGGUUGCUUUUGAUGAUAAAUGUCCUCAUCGUCUUGCUCCUUUGUCUGUAAGUUUAGUUAUUUGUUGUUGAACAUUGAAUUUGAAGUUGUUAGAGGGAAAUUGAAUUAGGCCAUGUUUGGAUAAACUGCUUAAUUAAGCAUUUAUAGCGUAUAAGUGUUUAUGUAUAAGCUAUUUGUAUAAGAAAAGAUAAAAUAAAGUGAAACUGUUUUCUUUCAAGCGAUUAGCUAUUUUCAUAAGCUAUCCAGAAGGACUAAUGAAAAUAAGUUGAAAACAUCUUAUAAAUAUGUCACAAGCUAUUUCCAUUAGCUCUUACCAGUGUUUAUGCCGGUAGAUGAGCUCAAAUAAGUCAAUUUCAAUAAUAAAAGAUGAAAUCAAAUUGUUUUCAUAUAAGCUAUAAACUGUUUUCACAAGCUAUCCUGAAGAACCAAUGAAAAUAAGUUGAAAACAACUUAUAAACAUGUUAGGGGCUAUUUCCAUAAGCUCUUACAAGUGUUUAUGCAACUAGAUGAGCUCAAAUAAGUGAUUUUUCAUAAGCUCUUACAAGUGUUUAUGCCAAUAGAUGAGCUCAAAUAAGUCAAUGUAAACUGACCAUUAUGAUUUGGUUGGUUUUUGCAGGAAGGAAGGAUAGAUGAAAGUGGAAACUUGCAGUGUUCUUAUCAUGGGUGGUCUUUUGAUGGACGUGGAGGUUGCACUGUGAUCCCUCAGGCUUCACCUGAAG
rnacentral:lncRNA from 1 species